UACGAAGGGGGCUAGCGUUGCUCGGAAUCACUGGGCGUAAAGCGCACGUAGGCGGAUCUUUAAGUCAGGGGUGAAAUCCCAAGGCUCAACCUUGGAACUGCCUUUGAUACUGGGGAUCUCGAGUCCGGAAGAGGUUGGUGGAACUCCGAGUGUAGAGGUGAAAUUCGUAGAUAUUCGGAAGAACACCAGUGGCGAAGGCGACAUACUGGUCCGUUACUGACGCUGAGGCUCGAAAGCGUGGGGAGCAAACAGG
rnacentral:rRNA from 1 species